AUGGCGGAAACAGGUGAUAGUAGUGGGUCAGGAGAUCGGAGAUCAGAGGAAGCGGCAAAACUCUUGGAGAGGUUGAAUCUUCAAGACGGGGAAAUAGAUGAUCUAGUCUGGGAAGAUGAGGUUGAUGUGGAUGAAAUCAAACCAAAGUGGCUAGCCCUAGGGCGACUGCUGACAACAAAAAGCUUUAGCCAGAGUGCGUUGAUUGCGGAUAUGAAGGCAGCCUGGAACCCGGCACAACAGGUAGUUUGGAGGAGAAUCAGUGCUAAUUUAUUUUCGAUCCAAUUUAACUGCUUAGCGGAUUGG
rnacentral:rRNA from 1 species